AUGGAGGUGGGUGAGAUGGACGACGUGCAGGCGGUGGGAGAGCAGGUCAUCAGCAGCAGGGGCGGCUCCGUGCUCGGGAAGAAGACCAUCCUCAAGAGUGACCACUUCCCCGGCUGCCAGAACAAGCGCCUCACCCCGCACAUCGACGGCGCGCCCAAUUACCGGCAGGCAGGAUCACUGCGUGUUCACGGUGUUGCAAUGCCCACAAUGGAAGGAAUUGUGAAUGUGCUAAAUCAUAUUGGGGCACAAAAGAAGGGAAAGCAAACCCGAGUUCUAUGGCAUAGUCUUCGGGAGGAACCAGUUAUCUAUAUCAAUGGUCGCCCUUUUGUUCUACGAGAUGCCGAAAGACCCUUCUCAAACCUUGAAUAUACGGGAAUCAACCGGGAGAGAGUCGAGCAGAUGGAGUUUCGUUUGAAAGAAGAUAUUCUUCAGGAAGCUUCAAGAUAUGGGAAUAAGAUCCUAGUUACUGAUGAGCUGCCGAAUGGUCAGAUGGUGGACCAGUGGGAGUCAGUGAUGUCUGAUACAGUUAAGACUCCACUUGAGGUCUAUGAGGAGUUACAACACCAAGGAUACCUUGUUGAUUACGAGCGUGUUCCUAUAACUGAUGAAAAAGCUCCGAAGGAAGGGGAUUUUGAUAACCUGGUACAUCGAAUCUCUCAAGUUGAUAUGGAGACUGAAAUUGUAUUUAAUUGUCAAAUGGGGAGGGGACGGACUACUACCGGCAUGGUCAUAUCUACGUUGGUUUACCUAAAUCGGAUAGGAGCUUCAGGUAUCCCAAGGACAAGUUCAAUUGGGAAGGUUUUCUAUGCUGGAAAUGAUUUAGAUGACUACAGUCCUAGCUCAGAAGAAGCAAUUCUCAGAGGAGAAUAUGCUGUCAUUAGGAGCUUAGUCCGAGUUCUGGAGGGUGGUGUUGAAGGCAAAAGACAAGUGGACAAAGUUAUUGACAAAUGUGACUCUAUGCAGAACCUGAGAGAAGCUAUUGCGACCUACCGCAAUAGCACUCUUCGGCAACCUGAUGAGAUGAAACGGGAGGCAUCACUUUCCUUCUUUGUGGAGUACUUGGAACGUUAUUACUUCCUCAUAUGUUUUGCUGUCUAUGUACAUUCGGUGAGCUCUGCUCACCAAGCAACAUCUUCAGGAGUUAGUUUUUCUGAUUGGAUGAGAGCGAGACCUGAACUGUACAGCAUUCUUCGAAGGCUGCUGAGGAGAGAUCCAAUGGGCGCUCUUGGUUAUUCGAGCUCAAAACCUACUCUUCCAAAAAUUAUUGAAUCUGCUGAUGGGCGCCCACAUGAGAUGGAUGUUGUUGCUGCCAUGAGGAAUGGAGAAGUUCUUGGACGUCAAACUGUUUUAAAAAGUGAUCACUGUCCAGGGUGUCACAAUCUUAAUUUGCCUGAAAGAGUUGAGGGUGCACCUAAUUUCCGGGAAAUUCCGGGGUUUUCAGUCUAUGGUGUUGCAAAUCCUACUGUUGAUGGCAUUCGGGCUGUUAUUCAGCGAGUUAGUACAAGCAAGGGAAACCGGCCGAUACUCUGGCAUAAUAUGAGAGAAGAGCCCGUCAUUUAUAUACAUGGAAAGCCUUUUGUGCUACGAGAAGUAGAAAGACCGUACAAGAAUAUGCUUGAGUACACGGGGAUCGGUCGUGAUAGAGUUGAGCGUAUGGAAGCUCGGUUGAAGGAGGAUAUUUUACGAGAAGCAGAACGGUAUGAUGGGGCAAUAAUGGUUAUUCAUGAAACCGACAAUGGUGAGAUCUUUGAUGCAUGGGAAAAUGUCAAUAAUGAAGCUGUUCUGACUCCACUGGAGGUAUACAAAUGUUUGGACUCUGAAGGCCUUCCAAUCAAAUAUGCACGAGUGCCCAUUACUGAUGGUAAGGCCCCCAAAAGUUCAGAUUUUGAUACGGUAGCCUUUAAUGUCGCAGCUGCUUGCAAGGAUGCUGCUCUUGUAUUCAACUGCCAGAUGGGCAGGGGCAGAACAACUACUGGUACUGUGAUUGCUUGCCUGCUCAGACUUCGAAUCAAUAACGGCAGACCUAUUGGAAUGCCAGCCAUCCAAAAUAAUCAUGAAGACACAACUGAUGCCGAUUACUCAAGCGGAGAAGAAACAAUGGACCACAAUGGUCACUUGAAUUCAGAAUCAUGGAAACCUCACACUUUGACAGAGCUACACCCUAGAUUUGACAUUAAUGACAUCCUUCUGUUGCGAAAGAUUACAAGGCUAUUUGACAAUGGGAUUGAGUGUAGACAGAUUUUAGAUACUGUUAUUGACAAGUGUUCAGCUUUGCAGAACAUUCGCCAAGCUGUUUUGCAAUACACAAAGGUGAUUAAUCAACAAAAUAUGGAGCCAAGAGUUAGGAGAGUCGCAUUAAAUCGUGGUGCUGAAUAUUUGGAGAGGUACCUGAAAUUAAUUGCAUUCUCGGCAUACCUCGGGAGUGAAGCAUUUGAUGGUUUCUGCGGGCAAGGAGAAACAAAGAUCUCAUUUAAAAAUUGGCUGCAACAGCGUCCGGAGAUCCAAACCAUGAAAUGGAGCAUAAGACUGCGACCUGGGCGUUUUUUCACUGUACCUGAUGAGCAUAAAGCAACAUGUCAACCUUCCAUCGUGAAAGCCCGUAAUGGUUCUGUUCUGGGAAAGGGAUCCAUACUCAAAAUGUAUUUCUUUCCUGGGCAGAGAAGGUCAAGUAGCAUGAACUUCCGUGGUACACCACAUGUUAUCAAGGUGGAUGGAUACCCUGUGUAUAGCAUGGCAACGCCAACUGUUGAUGGAGCUAGAGAAGUUCUGUCAUACUUGGGCUGUAAGGAUGCAACUGGAAGAGACAUUAUUCAGAAGGUGGUCAUCACGGAUCUUAGGGAGGAAGUGGUAGUUUACAUCAAGGGAACACCGUUUGUUUUGAGAGAGUUAGAUCAACCUGUUGAUACACUGAAGCAUGUGGGAAUAAGUGGCCCAAUGGUAGAGAACAUAGAGGCAAGGCUGAAGGAGGAUAUACUUUCUGAAGUUAAACAGCUAGAAGGUCGGCUGCUUCUGCAUCAAGAAGAAUUUAACACAGCCACAAAUCAAUGCAGUGUACUAGGUUAUUGGGAGCACAUAGAUCUGGAGGACGUAAUGACACCGGCUGAAGUGUACAGCACAUUGAGGGAUCAGGGGUAUUGUAUUGACUACAAAAGGAUACCUCUGACCAGGGAAAGAGAAGCAUUAGCUGCUGAUGUUGAUUCAAUACAGUCAUCAAUCAAUGAAUCUUCUAGGUACUAUCUCUUUAUUUCACACACGGGAUAUGGUGGUGUUGCUUAUGCAAUGGCCAUUACAUGCCUGAGACUUGGUGCAGAUGCAAAGUUUGUCAUGGAACAAACAGCAGAAACACACUUCGUAUCAAGUUCUCUUACAAAAAGUGUAUCUGUGAAAACCUUCACUGACAUAGCCCUCAGGCAGGGAGACUACCGUGACAUACUAAACCUUACUAGAGCACUGAUACAUGGUCCUAAAAGCAAAGAAGAGGUUGACAAAGUUAUUGACAGAUGUGUUGGUGCUGGGGAUUUGCGGGAGGAUAUUUUGCAAUACAGGAAGGCAUUGCGAGAUUGUUCACAUGAUGAUGAUGAUGAGGCACGGUCAUAUCUCAUGGAUAUGGGGACUAAAGCUUUGAGGUUGACUCGGCCGGGCCUCGUUCGGCUGGGCCAGGCCUUCUCGCUUGGGUCGCUGCUGGCUGCUUCCUAG
rnacentral:rRNA from 1 species